GGGCGGAGGGGGGGACAAUCUUUUAGUUUAGGGGUAUAAAUUGUAUUUGUUUUUCUUCAUAGUUAGGAAAUUGCGUAAAGUUAUCUCCUUCACCUAGUGGUAUUAGAUUUUAACUUUUCGUAAGUUCCGAAAUUCCUACAUCUCAUGAAGUUGAACAUGUGACGUUGCGUCCGGUGUCAUUGUCCUUAAGGGCAUACGAUACAGUUACAGGGAAGGGAAUGACGUUGCUUACGUAAAAUGUUAUUUUCGCGACGUCAAACUAUGACAUAUCGGGAAAAGAUGCAUUUUUCGACUGAUUUUUAUCAUUCAAACUGAUUUAAUUUGAAAACGAGUGCAUGGACCCCUAUUUUUUAAAACAGCAAUUUGUUUCAUUUUGCAAGGAGAUUAUGUGACCCAAAUUUUAUAAAACUGUAAAUAGCGCAAUUUUUUUAAUUUUGAUAAACAUGCAGCAAAAAAUGACGUUUUUUCCUCUAUUCAUGAACAUUUGAUAAAUAUAG
rnacentral:lncRNA from 1 species